UAGAAGCAAACACUAGCGGUGGAACACAUUGUUUCAUUUGAUAGUAAACACUAUACCUUACCAAUCU
rnacentral:sRNA from 1 species